GACGAAGCGUGCAAACGUUAUUCGGAAUCACUGGGCAUAAAGGGCGCGUAGGCGGCUUUCUAAGUCAGGGGUGAAAUCCGGCAGCUCAACUGUCGCAGUGCCUUUGAUACUGGAGAGCUCGAGGGAGGUAGGGGUCUGUGGAACUUCCGGUGGAGCGGUGAAAUGCGUUGAUAUCGGAAGGAACGCCGGUGGCGAAAGCGACGGACUGGAUCUCUUCUGACGCUGAGGCGCGAAAGCCAGGGGAGCAAACGGG
rnacentral:rRNA from 1 species